GCUGGUGUAGCUCAAUCGGCAGAGCAUCCGACUUGUAAUCGGAAGGUUAGGGAUUCAACUUCCCUCUCCAGCUC
rnacentral:tRNA from 2 species